CGGAGUAAUGCGUGACCAACCUGCCCCAUGCUCCAGAAUAGCUCUUGGAAACGGGUGGUAAUGCUGGAUGCUCCAACUUGACGCAUGUCUUGUUGGGAAAGUGUUUAGUGGCAUGGGAUGGGGUCGCGUCCUAUCAGCUUGUAGGCGGGGUAAUGGCCCACCUAGGCUUCGACGGGUAGCCGGCCUGAGAGGGCGGACGGCCACAUUGGGACUGAGAUACGGCCCAGACUCCUACGGGAGGCAGCAGCA
rnacentral:rRNA from 1 species